GAGCAAGCGCGCGAGUUUGUGAACGCACAACAACAACAACAAUAUCAGACAACAAACACAGCCAGUUGGAGCUUCUUUUAUUUUUCCUCAUUUGAUGGUGCUCGGCCGAUCUUCGUCAUCGCUACAACGUGAUCGUCAUCGACAUCGCCAUCGUCGUGGCAGCGAAGCUGAGCAGCGUUGUCAAGCGAUCGUUGCGAGUUUAGUUCUUUUUCAGUGUUCGUAUUGAUCGGGUCGACGAACGCGGAUCCGGCAGUACAACUCCGCUUAACGUCUGUGUGAACGGGCUGUGCGCUAAGUCUCCAACGGCAGCGCCAAACUACUUGGAGCCGAGCGCUGAGGAUCGGAAAGAAUUCUGUGUAUGUGUGUGCCUCAACCUUCAAUUACAAGUGCGAAGUAAAAUAAAA